rnacentral:rRNA from 1 species
AACGAACGCUGGCGGCAGGCCUAACACAUGCAAGUCGAACGAAGUCUUCGGACUUAGUGGCGCACGGGUGAGUAACACGUGGGAAUAUACCUUACGCUGGGGGAUAACAUCGGGAAACUGAUGCUAAUACCGCAUACGCCCUUCGGGGGAAAGAUUUAUCGGCGAAAGAUUAGCCCGCGUCCGAUUCGCUAGUUGGUGAGGUAAUGGCUCACCAAGGCUCGGACCGGUAGCUGGUCGGAGAGGAUGACCAGCCACACUGGGACUGAGACACGGCCCAGAAUCCUACGGGAGGCAGCAGUGGGGAAUAUUGGACGAUGGGCGCAAGCCUGAUCCAGCCAUGCCGCGUGAGUGAUGAAGGCCUUAGGGUUGUAAAGCUCUUUCACCCACGACGAUGAUGACGGUAGUGGGAGAAGAAGCCCCGGCUAACUACGUG